ACGGAGACUGCGGUCCGCACACGCACAGACAAGGGGGCGGCUGGCCAAUGGUGCUUAACAUUCAGGGGACAGCUUUGUGGAUCAGUACAGAAACCCCACCCACCCCUGCCACCUGAUUGGUGCUUUCUCUCUGUCCGCCUCCUGGGUGUGGCUCUCACCCUGUCCUGCCUUGACUGUACUCUCUAAUUGUAGCUGCGCUUUACGCUUGCCUUCCAGCCGGCUGCUCACUGGGGACGGGUCUGUUUGGCUCGCUCGGUGUACAUGCUGGCCCCCGGCCGUCCUGCACAGCUUCCUCCUGCCCCGUGUUAACAGCAGCAACUCCCUUUUCCUACACGCAGUCCCACCAUCCCCCUGCCUCUGCUGUCCUCCCUGGCCCCGGUGGCUGUCUGGCUGUGAGCAGUGCAGUGCGUGCGUGCGUGCAUGUGCGUGUGUGUGUGUGCACGUGUGUGUUCGUGUGUGUGCAUGUGUGAGAGAGAAAGAGAUGUGAGAGGUGCACUAUGUGUGUGGCAGCGUGUGAGUGUGGCAGUAUGUGUGGAUGUGUGAGGUGCUGUGUGUAUGGACGUGAAAGGUGCUGUGUGUGGCAGUGUGUGUAGAUGUGAGAGGUGCUGUGUGAGUGGUCGUAUGUGUGUGGCAGUGUGUUUAUGUGGAUGUGAGGUGCAGUGUGUGGAUGUGCUUGUGAGAGGUGCAGUGUGUGUGUGUGUGGCAGUGUGUGGAUGUGCAUGUGAGAGGUUCAGUGUGAAUGGUUGUGUGUGGAUGUGAGAGGUGCUGUGUGAGUGGCUGUAUGUGUGGAUGUGGUUUUGUGCAGGAUGUCUUGCAGGCAUCAUUGCAGCCUGUACUGAAAUCUGACUGCUUACAUUGCUUGCUUCACAGAUUAAACGUUUCCUAAUGAAAAUACCGGCUGCUGCAGUUAGUAUUAACAGUAUUCUUUCACAAAGACUAACCCUUUUAAUGUGAGGCUUUCUAAGGCUGUUGAAGGAUGUUUCAUAAUUAUGUCUUAAUUAAUUUUUGCUUUCAUGAAUCUCCUGUUUAUCCCUGAACAUCACUUUACUAUGACUCCGUCCAGGCAAGAGAUGUUUCCUGCUCUCAUAACAAUUUAAUAUAAUAGAUCAAUAAAGAGCAAGUAAAUGAAA